rnacentral:rRNA from 1 species
UAAUACCCGCUCCCCGAGUGGUCGGGACGUUUACUGGGCUUAAAGGACCCGUAGCCGGCCCUGCAAGUCCCCCGUUAAAUCCGGCGUCUCAAGCGCCGGGCUGCGGGGGUUACUGCGGGGCUUGGGAGCGGAGGAGGCCGGCGGUACCCCCGGAGUAGGGGUAAAAUCCUCUGAUCCCGGGGGGACCACCAGCGGCGAAGGCGGCCGGCUAAAACGCGUCCGACGGUGAGGGGUGAAAGCUGGGGGAGCGAUCGGGACUAGAUACCCCGGUAGUCCCAGCUGUAAACGAUGCGGGCUAGGUGUGCGGGUAGCUUCGGGCUGUCCGCGUGCCGCAGGGAAACCGUUAAGCCCGCCGCCUGGGGAGUACGGCCGCAAGGCUG